CAGCCUGGGAGCCUCGCACUUUCCCUGGAUGCCUAACGAGGAGGAAUUCCUGUCUCCUUGGAUUGGUAUGGAGGUUGGGGAAUAAGAACUAAACCCUAGGAAGACUUUUACAAGGUAUUUGACACAAAGUAAGUGCUCAAUAAAACCUCACUGUUAGCAAUACAGUCUUGUUACUGUGAACUUUCAGAUUUUUACUUUGAAAAAAUAUUGAGAGAUUGGCAUCAUAUGGUUGCAUAUACCUUCUUAAUAACCCAUCUUUAUUAGCUAAGAACGGUCUGUUUCCUCCCCUCCUAAAUGGCUAAGGAUAAACACACAUUUCCUAGCCAGGUCAUUGGCCCCAGAACUGUUUUGGGAGCCACAUGGUAAUAGUACCCCUCACACUUGGGAGGACUAGCUCCCCUUUGUGUGUGGGUUGUGAACCCGGAGCUUUGACUUAUGAUGGGGGAAGUCUGGGGUACAUGACAUGUGGCCACAUCACUGAGGUCGAGGCCAUUGCUCCCGGGCAGGCACGCUGUGCCAGCUAAGGCACUGUGUCAACACCUGAGGGUGCACACCACACCAUCCUCUGAGUCAUCCUGUGCCCUGUCUUACAGAUGAGUAACCUGGGACUGGACUCAAAAGUCUUUAUCAGCAAGGAUCUUGCCAGGGUCACUCAGCCUCCAAGAGCCCUGGAAGUCUCAGCUUGUCUCCAUGACAAAUCAGCACAAUGGGGUUUCUUGGAUGGGCUAAUAGAAUGGAGUCCAGGAGACUCAGUGGACCUCUGAUCACCUCAGAUUUUCUCUCUCUCUCUCUCCCCCUCUUUCCCUCUCACCUUUCCUCCCUCCCUCCCCCAGC
rnacentral:lncRNA from 1 species